ensembl:lncRNA
GUCCCAUCCAGGAAAAACCUCAGAGAAGAGACCAGCCUGGAAACUCAAAUUUGCUGCACAGAAUCUCAAACUCCAGGUUUCACUCGAGUUGGAGCUACUGAAAUUCAAGAAUGAGAAUGAAGCACCACUUUGUUCUGCCCACUGUGGCCCAGAGGAAGCAGAGACAGCCACCUUCAUCACUGUUCACCCAGACUUUACAACCUUCUGCCCUUGCUUCUGGCUGUUUUCCCGCCACUGCCAGCUUAAGAUGGCUGGUUCCUGGCAUGAGAAGCCUGGCUUAGGCCUUAGCAUCCCAGGGCUAAUCUGUCUGGGCUCCAAUGCCCUGUCUGUCUGUCCAUCUGCCCUCUACUCAGCUCCAGGAUGGCCACUGGGAACUCAACAUCCAACACUCUGGGGCCUUUUUGUGAAUGGAGCUUAGGUCUCACUGAAGAGAUGGGGACUAGGCGUGCUGACAUCCCCCAUGGGAAUGCCCUGGUCAGACCCAGGCUUCCUUCCUCCAGGCUGAUGCAGGAUGGCAUGACCAUGUCCACCACACUUCCUCACGGCACUGCCCCGGGCCGAUGGUCCUACUCUGUGCCAGUGUGCCUCCCUUGACACAUAGCUUCAAGCGGAUGAUAUGUCUUGCUUGCAGGAAGAUUAGGAACAUUCACAUUCUUGGAAAAGCAGAGGAUGUGAGGGUUAAAGUUCCUUGAAGUGCAGGCCAGAGAAAGACUUCUGCAUUUCCAGACAUUGUCUCAGAGAACUGUAAUCCUCCAGGGUCUACCUGACUAUAACUGAUGUAGCUCCUUGGAGCAGAUGUGUGUUUGUGUGCAUGUAUAAAUCAACUCCACAUGUCUACUUGCAUUCAAUUCAUUUCCCUGAACCAGCCAACUAUAGCUGACUCUCUUGAGUAUCUACUGUGUACCAUGGACUAUACUAGAUGCUUUACCUGCAGUUCCUUGUUUUAUCUCUACAAUGACUCUAAGGUGGGGAGAGACUGUUAUUGUCCUCAUUUUCUAAAAGAAACUAUAGCACAGGGAGACUCAGUUACUUGUCAAAGAUCAAGAAGUAGUAAGUGGGCAGCAUGACUUCUAACUAAGGCAGCAGUCUGACCACUGAGCCUCAGCUGGGAACCACCAUAGUGUGUCUGUGUGUCUGUGUGCUUACAUGCACACAUGCCCUUUCGCAUAUGGGCUGCCCCAUUUGUGAAGCUGAGAGAGUGCAGAGGAAAAUGUUGGGAGGACCUUCCCCAGGAGGGUUUCUAUGCAGCAAAGGAAGUGGUGUCAGGUAUAUAGAUGAGGUCCCAGAAGCCCACCUGAAAAUUCCAACUGUUAGAAGAAUGGGGUGGGUGUUAGGGAUCUACUGCUUUAAAUCCUCUUCUACUCUGGAAGAGCAGAGCCUUGGAUGGGCAGGAUGAGGCAGAGCCUAAGUUUCCCAGGGAGAGUUCAUGAGUGAGUAGAAUUGAAAACAAUAAGCCGGAUGUUUCCUGACCCCGCCCAUCCUGUGCCGGGCCUUCAUCCUUCAGCCUCAUUGAUGCUUCAUCCUGAAGGUCCAAGUUGCAGAGUCACCCAUGGAGGAAUGGGCUGCUCUCAUAGAAC